rnacentral:rRNA from 1 species
AUGAACGCUGGCGGCGUGCCUAAUACAUGCAAGUCGAGCGAACAGACGAGGAGCUUGCUCCUCUGACGUUAGCGGCGGACGGGUGAGUAACACGUGGAUAACCUACCUAUAAGACUGGGAUAACUUCGGGAAACCGGAGCUAAUACCGGAUAAUAUAUUGAACCGCAUGGUUCCAUAGUGAAAGACGGUUUUGCUGUCACUUAUAGAUGGAUCCGCGCCGCAUUAGCUAGUUGGUAAGGUAACGGCUUACCAAGGCAACGAUGCGUAGCCGACCUGAGAGGGUGAUCGGCCACACUGGAACUGAGGCACGGUCCAGACUCCUACGGGAGGCAGCAGUAGGGAAUCUUCCGCAAUGGGCGAAAGCCUGACGGAGCAACGCCGCGUGAGUGAUGAAGGUCUUCGGAUCGUAAAACUCUGUUAUUAGGGAAGAACAAAUGUGUAAGUAACUAUGCACGUCUUGACGGUACCUAAUCAGAAAGCCACGGCUAACUACGUG